rnacentral:lncRNA from 1 species
UUCAUGGUAAAGGUUAGCAUACUUCCGAAGAAAUAGCCGGUUAGGUACUCCGCUUUACGCAUGGGAAGCCUUCAUGGAGAGGGAUUCUAAAUUAUUUCACUUUAAUGUGAAGAUUCAUAUUGAUUGCCUAAUUAAUUUUACUAUAUUAAUUUUUAAUGUAAUGUUGAUUUUAAUGUAUCGAUUUAAUGCGGUAUCAUCAUAAUUACCUAAUGGACUUAAAACAUGGACUUUAAAUAAAUGACAUCGGAC